CCGGGCGCCUCGGUGCCCCACCGCCCCGGGAACAGGGGACAGGACCUACUCACCCGGCAGUCCGCGGCAGGGAGGGCAGCGAAGAGAGGAGCGGGUGCGGCUCUGCCGGGAACCGAGAGUGAUCUCCGGAAAAGCGAAACUGAAACUUUGCGCUCCAGGGCGGCGGGGCCGGACGCACCCCUGCCCGGGCCCGGCACAGCGGCGUCGCGAGUCGCGGCGCCAUCCCCAUGCGGAGAGCCAUGGCUUCGAACCUCUGCCCGCCGUCCCCGCUGCUCGUGCGGGUGUCGCAUCCCGGCACCCGCCUUACAUGGAAGCUGGAAAAGUACUUCCAGAGCCGGGAGUCGGGCGGCGGGGAGUGCACCGUGCAGGCCCUGGACCGCAACGACCCCAACUCGGACACCUUCCGGGUGCAGUUCGUGCAAAGGGCGAGUAAGGAGGGAGUGUUGAAGAAAGGAAAGCACCAAAUUGUGGUUGCCAACAAACCUGUGACUGUUUUCCUGGAACCCAAUGAAAAUGCAGUAGAGAAGAACACCAGGAUGUCUUCUUUGACACAGUCACGAAAAGGGGCGAGGCCUGGUGAGAAGCAUCCAAAUGAAAAGGACAUUUCUAGCAUUGUGGAUUCCUGUGUCCAGAAGAUCUUUCUUACUGUCACGGCUAAACUGAACUGUCACCUGUUCUCUAAAGAGCAGAGGGAACACAUCGCCAUCCUCUGCCCCAAUGUCGAACGAGUGAAGGGCCAUGAAGGAAUUGAGAAAGUGCGCGGUGACUUCAGAGAUAUUGAAAAAAUACAUGGCUUCUUGAGUGAACACCUCCUGGAAAAGGAGCAGAAACGAGAAUCUUCCCCUUUGACAACAGAGAGGGAGCCGCUCCAUCAGCAGGACGGGAACAGCUGUGUUUCUCCCUCUGAACCAAAAACCAGGUCGGAAGAAAAAAACAACGGUUUUGAAGUUCCCUUGGCUCUCUUUGAAUACUUCACAUACACCUGCCCUGAUAAAAUAUACUCAAUAGAGAAAAGAUUUGGUACAAAAAUAAAAAGUCAGAAGAGUUCUCCGAAUAUAGUCUAUUUAGACUUCACCUCAAGUCAAUCAGGUAACCUCGAAGCAGCUCGCGAGUCUUUUGUCAGAGAAUUUCAGAAGAGUGUGGAGAUGCUGAAGCAGGAAUGCGUUGCUCUGGCAGACAGUGAGCAGGCACACAAAAUCAAACAGGAAUUAAAUCACCAGUUUACAAAGCUCCUCAUAACGGAGAAGGGAGGAGAAUUAACUCUCCUUGGGACCGCAGAUGACAUUUCAGCUGCCAAACAUUUUCUUGCCUCACAAAUCUCUGAAAGUCUUCCCAAGGCGCCUGUGAAAAUAGUGACUCCCAAGCACAUGAUGAAUGGAAUUGAGGUUGACACUGCUCACUAUAAGCUUUUAGAAGCAGAGUUACUCCAGGAGAUAUCACAGAUAGAAAAAAAGUAUGACACUCAAAGUAAGGUUUUGAGAACAAGUCAGAAAAUCUGCAUUCUAUUUGAACCUAAAACCAAGGAGUUAGAUCUAUCUGUGCAUGCUUAUUCAAGUUUCAUCGAUGCCUAUCAACAUGUCUCAUGUCAGAUUGUGAGAGAAGUUCUUUUGCUGAAACUUUUGGGCAAGGAGACAAAGCACUUACAUGGGACCAAGUUCUCUGAUGACUUUCGAAAAAGGCAUCCAAAUAUAGACUUUGUGCUAAAUCAAGAGUCAAUGACUUUGAUUGGGUUGCCAAAUCACCUUACAAAGGCAAAACAGUAUGUCUUAAACAGAGGGGGAAUGUCUCCAUUAGCUAGAGAGAAAUGGAAUGAAACACCCACGGACACUGAUAGUAAUGAUUCAAAAACAGCUUCACCAACAUUGCAGCGCUCUGCCAGUUCUGAGGUGUCAGAAGUGGACAAGGAAAAGGACAUAUGUACCAUCUGUUUGAACACCAUUAGCAACAGAAAAGUGCUCUCAAAGUGCAAGCAUGAUUUCUGCAGCCUUUGUAUCAACAAAGCCUUGUCAUAUAAGCCAGUCUGUCCUUUGUGCCAGACUUCCUAUGGUGUCCAGAAAGGGAAUCAGCCAGAUGGAAACAUGUAUGUCAUUUUCAAAAGAGACUCACUUCCAGGUUAUGAAUCCUGUGGCACCAUUGUGAUUACUUACAGUAUUGAAGAAGGCAUACAAACAAAAGAGCACCCAAACCCAGGAAAGAGAUUUUCUGGAAUAUGUCGAACUGCAUACUUGCCUGAUAACAAGGAAGGAAAUGAGGUUUUGCAUCUGCUUCGUAGGGCCUUUGACCAAAAACUGAUUUUCACAGUGGGAGACUCUCGAGCAUUAGGAGUCUCAGAUGUCGUUACGUGGAAUGAUAUCCACCACAAAACGUCCAGGUUUGGGGGACCAGAAAGGUAUGGCUACCCUGAUCCUGACUAUCUGAAACGUGUCAAACAGGAGCUGAAAGAUAAAGGAAUUGAGUAAGAAGAGUAUUGGAAGGAAAAGUUGAGCCAAGCUUGCAAAAGGCACAGUUGAAGAAGCAGAGUAAAUUCUAAUCUAAAUCCUUAUGUAAAAACACCUUUAAAAUUGUUUCAUCUCAAGAAGUGGUUUGUGGGGAAUUCCCCGGUGGUGCAGGGGUUAGGACUCCGAGAGCUUCCACUGCAGGGGGCACAGGUUCGAUCCCACGGUUGGGGAACUAAAAUCCUGGCUGCACAGCCAGAAAAAAAAAAAAAAAAGACGUGCUUUGUGUAAGAGUAAGAAUCUGCUGGUCUGUCAUUUCUGGAGUGUUACAUUUUCUGGAAGAUAAAAGCCCCGGAGAUCUGUGUAAUCUUGCUGCAGAGGUAGUGUGCCUCAUUCUCGUGUCAUCCUUGUGGAGGCUAGAGGGGUGGAGUGCUGUGGAUCUGAAAUCAUCUUCUGUGUUGUUCAACUGAAGUACCAGCUGUCAGUGGAUCCUCCUUUUAUCCCCAUCUCUCGGGUAGUCCUUCAGUUUUGUCUGUUUGCUCUUUGAGCCCUACCCUAAAAGUAAAACCCUAAUGUGAAGGGUGGUCGGGUGGGAGGAGGGCUUUGGUUAUGCAAAAUUAGAGACCUACGUUCCCCUCCCUGCCCCAUGGCCAGAGGAGUGGCCAGGACAGAGCCUGAGCAACCUUGGUAAUAAAGGGAAUAAGGCUGUUAUUUUUGACAACACAGAGCCUGGUGAACAGUUGGUGCUUAAUAAAUGUUUGCUGCCUGACUCAAGUUGCUAGUAACCCCGCAGAGAAACAUGUUCCUUAAAUCUUUGGCAGAGGCAGGAGUAAGGAAGACAGCUCUGGAGUCCUCACCACUUAUUUGGGAAAUGGAGUUUCUUACUCCAGAACUUGUGGCCUCUGAACUCUGACCGGCCUCUAACUUUGUCCUUGCUCCCUGCUGAUUCUUAUAACCUGCCAUAUGGUGUGCGCUUCCCCUGCCCUAGUAAUGCUACCCAUCUCUGAACAUUUUUCCCUCUGGAUAUUAUUGUACUUUUAUGUAUACCCCACUUGCAGUUUUAACAGAUAAAUCACAGGAAUCUCCACAGACUCUCAUUUUCUCAUGAGAAAAAUGAGAAAAAACCCUUUUCCUCCCUUUUGCUAAGUCCUACCACGUCAUGCUUUCUCCCUUAAAAUAUGUCUCCCUAAUAAUGUCUGGACAGAGAAAAGACUAGAGUCGUGCCUACCAUAAGGAAUACGGACAUGUCAAAAUUUACUUUUAAAUGGUUCCUCAAGUCAGAAGAAAGUUUUAACAGCAAACUAUCUCGUUAUCCAUGUCCCAGCCUCUCUCCAAAAAUGAUGAAAGAGAUGUCAUUUUCUUUUCCUAAAGAUACGUGUACACACAGUCUUCUUGGUCAGACAGUAAUAGUUAAUAUUGUGUACUUAUUUUGUCCCCUUUAUAAGAGCUUUAUAUCUGUGUGAUUGAUACUAUUGGUAUCCCCAUUUCAUAACUGAGAAAACUGAUGCACAGAGAGGAUAAGUACCUUGACAACGGUCACAUAAUUAAUAAGCAGAAGUUCUGGGAUUCGAAGGAGUUAGUCUGGCUCCAAGGCUUCUGUGCCCUAGAGCUGUACUGUCUCCUACAGGGGUCUUUUCCUCCAUGGAGGAAGCUGAGGCGUUCCCACUAUUCUGAGCUUCUCUCAGAAAUGGAUUCCUGCCCAGUGCUCAAGGCAGAUUUCCUCUGAGGAAUUCCUGUUUGAAGAACUUGAAAAACCAGAAUCUUUUUCUUUGUCCGGAGAGUUGAGGAAGUUUAAGGAACUAAGGUCCCCACCCAGGUGGAGGAUGGUAACUUCAGGCUGAAAACAAGCAUGUGGACUUCAGACUGGUUGGAACCAGACAGCUGAUGAUUGAGAUUCCAGGAACACCACCCAGUUACCUCCCCACCAAACCAUCAGAGGGAGGUCACACACCCUGCAGCUCUCUCCCCAACCCAAUUUUGCCUAUAAAAACUCUUCCCCCAAAACCAUCAGGGAAUUCGGGUCUUUUAAGCAUGAGCCGUCCAUUCUCCUUUCUUGGCCCUGCAAUAAACCUUUCUCCAUUCCAAA